CUUAUAUUCAAACCUCCCCGCUUUUAUCAGUCCCUUAGGAAAGGAAUUACUGGCUGUCAGGGAAAUAGAUUUCAUAUUUAGCUUUCUAAAGGCCUUCUACACCUUAUACUAGUGGUCCCGUGAGACCAACACCCAUUCUCAUACUCCGAGGUAUUCGGCCCUUGGUCCAACGCAUAGCUAGCCGCAUCGCAAUGGCCAUUGGAGUAAC